rnacentral:rRNA from 1 species
GAUGAACGCUGGCGGCGUGCCUAAUACAUGCAAGUCGAGCGAACAGACGAGGAGCUUGCUCCUCUGACGUUAGCGGCGGACGGGUGAGUAACACGUGGAUAACCUACCUAUAAGACUGGGAUAACUUCGGGAAACCGGAGCUAAUACCGGAUAAUAUAUUGAACCGCAUGGUUCAAUAGUGAAAGACGGUUUUGCUGUCAAUUAUAGAUGGAUCCGCGCCGCAUUAGCUAGUUGGUAAGGUAACGGCUUACCAAGGCAACGAUGCGUAGCCGACCUGAGAGGGUGAUCGGCCACACGGGAACUGAGACACGGUCCAGACUCCUACGGGAGGCAGCAGUAGGGAAUCUUCCGCAAUGGGCGAAAGCCUGACGGAGCAACGCCGCGUGAGUGAUGAAGGUCUUCGGAUCGUAAAACUCUGUUAUUAGGGAAGAACAAAUGUGUAAGUAACUAUGCACGUCUUGACGGUACCUAAUCAGAAAGCCACGGCUAACUACGUG